UUCGUGACUAAAUUCAAUAUGUGUUACAUUGCGGGAGAUUGUAUUAUAUGCGAUAGAAAAGUACGAGGAGCAAAUAUUUUGUUUGUUUUCGUACGUAAUAUUACGUUCUGAAUAUCAUAAUAUUGUAGCUAUAAUUCUGCAGUCCAAUUUUAUUUUAUAGAACUAGGCUGGAAUACUAUCAAUAGUAUCAAAUUAUUGGUGCUAUUAGAUUUUCGGCUCUUGAAUAAGAAAAAUGUACGAUUAGAAUGAUCUGGAUCCCUUAAGGUUGAGUGAGUUAUUGGUUUAAUAGUAAAAUCUAACGGAUGAAAAUAGUCGAAAGGUUAAAUCUAACGGCGGAAAUCUCAAUAGUACCAAACACUUGAUGUUGAAAAAGAUGAUUAAAAAAAUUAUGAAAAAAACCAAAAAUUGUUCAUUUGACCUUAUGUUUGAUGGAGUCAAUGCUUCGAAAACUGUUUUCCUCUGGCGUCUUAAAAUCCCUCUUAGAAUCAAAUUGUUCAUUUGGCUAGCUGCACGAAACAGACUUCUCACGGCCGA
rnacentral:lncRNA from 1 species